UAUUCGAGAGUGGUCGCCAUGUUCUUCCCAGUCGAAUUAAUUCACGACAACGAUAUUUUCUAAGAACUAUGAUUUAGUUCUUCAUUUUAUGUUUUAAAUGUGCGAGAGAUACUCAGUUUCAUAGAUAAUUAGCGGUUAAUGUAUAUUUUGAUGAAAAUUAAAAUAUUUUCAAAUAGUUUAUCGAUUGAAAACGAGUUAAUUUUAAAUACGCUGUAACCAAAUAUGAUCGAACUUGAUUGGUCGAAAUGCAGUUUGAAAAAUCUCGUGCCUAUCUGAAUCGUCGAAUAAUGAACUUCGUAGUGACAACGGGUUUCCUUUAGAUCUAAUCUAAAAGUGUCUAGCAGAUUUGUUAUCAACUUCUCAAGAUGCAACAAUGAAACCGGUUUCCAUCGUAAUUGGUGUCGGACACCACGCAUACCGUCCGUUUAUUCCGCAAUGUUCGGAUCUCAAUUCCACGGAGAUAAUCCUGAAAGUAUCUGCAAAGGUGAGGGAAGGAGAUACCAUUAUCGAUGCAUACCGGCUCACCCAAUAAAACGUUGGUAGCUUACAGCCCUGGAUCGUCAUUCUGCACGUCCGUGGAUGAAACUCUUGGAGAAAAGCAAGAGAUGCUGCAGUUCACUCUACUUCUCUCUUCCUCUCUCGUCCAGUACGUUCUCUUUCUCCACUGACCAACAGCAACGGAAUAAAUAAAGUAAAUAGAGGAAUAUAGGAGGUAAAUAAAAAAUGUGGCAGCAGAGAAGAGAGACAGAGAAAGAGAGAGACAGAGACAAGGAGAGAGAGAGAAAGAGAGAGAGAGGGGAGUGUGUGCGAGGAAGGAGGGAGGGAGGUAAGGAGAAAAAGAGAGUUAAAGGGAAAGAAGGAGAGAAAAGAAGAGAGGAAGGGAGAGUGCCCUCAGGGCGAAUUCCCGUCGAGCAUCGGCCGCUGCAGAAUCCAGAGGUGCGUUCACCGGGGAAAUCCCUCCCUCGGAGAUUAUCCUCUUGAAGAAAACUCGACGGCUGUGCAUUUUUAACGCGCGUCGUGUACGACCGCGUGUUCCUUUAUUUACCAUUGCGUUUUCUUAAGCGCACUUCACUCUUCUUUCGUCGCAUUUUUAGGAAAGUCAUAUUUACGUUUAGGCAAAACUAACGAUAGAUUGUACACUUGGAAUUGUAGAAGAUAAACGAGACAAAGUUGUACAUUUGAAACUUUUUUAAUCGAUGGACGAACACGUAAAAUGUGAAAGACAGUUUCACUCGUCAGCUUAAAUUUAAUAUUACUAUUAUUACGUGAUAUAGGUGGAUUUAAUAGGUGAAGCGAAUGAUAAUAAUUAUUAUAACUUUAUUUGGUUAUUCGUUUUAUUAAUUUUGAUCGAGUUAUAAAAUUGAUUAUCAUACGGUAAUUUCGACUUUUUGGAAGAGAGUCCAAAAGGAUGGCAUCCGAUACAACAUCGAUAUAAUAUAUUUAUCAUAAAAUAAACAAAGUACUCCGUUUAGAUUCAUUCUUACGCUGUUGCGUACAAACGAUAGGCAUCUACCGAGAAAAACUCUGCUGGCCGAAAUUACGGCCCAUUAACACGACGAGAGACGAAACGCCACAAGGAUCGCAGUUGAUCAGGACUAGAUCUGAACAAUGGUAUUUGAACGAGACCGGAAACUAGGUUCCCGUAACCAAUUUGAAAGUUCGAGAAGAAGUCAAAAAGGAUAGAAUCGGCGAUGACGAAUUCAACCACACAGAGAAGCGAUCGCUCGUACCGUAACGUACGACAUAUCUUUUCUCAGAAAUCAUCUCGAAGCGAUCUACCAGUGAACGGUCGUCUUUCUCUUUCUGUCUCUCUGUCGAGUCGGGCCGGCCUCUCGUGUGUCCCUGUUGCGUUAGUUGGCCAGGUCGGUGCCAGGGAGUCUACCAGCGAUAACCAGCUGCGCGUCGUACCGGUAGACUGCCUGCUGCCUCCGGCUGCUCCGGGGACCCUGGGACCGGUUAUACUUGACCCAGCGGUUUACACGCGCUUGCCGCCGUCAGCACCACCACCGCCGAGGCCGGAUCGCACCGCUACCGAAACACGUACCUACAUUGCCUGGACAAACUCCACCACACUCGGCUAGUUUCUUCUCUUUCUCUCCCUCUAUUCCUCCAGCUUUCUCUCUUUUCUAUCUUUUUCUCUCUCGCACGAUCAACGAUCUCCGU